UAAUACGGAGGGUGCAAGCGUUAUCCGGAUUCACUGGGUUUAAAGGGUGCGUAGGUGGAUUAGUAAGUCUGUGGUGAAAUCUCUGAGCUUAACUCGGAAACUGCCAUGGAUACUAUUAGUCUUGAAUCUCCUGGAGGUAAGCGGAAUAUGUCAUGUAGCGGUGAAAUGCUUAGAUAUGACAUAGAACACCAAUUGCGAAGGCAGCUUACUACGGGAGCAUUGACACUGAGGCACGAAAGCGUGGGGAUCAAACAGGAUUAGAUACCCUGGUAGUCCACGCCCUAAACGAUGAUUACUCGACAUACGCGAUACACUGUGUGUGUCUGAGCGAAAGCAUUAAGUAAUCCACCUGGGAAGUACGAUCGCAAGAUUG
rnacentral:rRNA from 1 species